CUCCAGACUCCUACGGGAGGCAGCAGUGAGGAAUAUUGGUCAAUGGGCGAGAGCCUGAACCAGCCAAGUCGCGUGAAGGAUGACGGCCCUACGGGUUGUAAACUUCUUUUGUCAGGGAGCAAUUGGGUCCACGCGUGGGCUUAGCGAGAGUACCUGAAGAAAAAGCAUCGGCUAACUACGUGCCAGCAGCCGCGGUAAUACGUAGGGGGCGAGCGUUAUCCGGAUUUACUGGGUGUAAAGGGAGCGUAGACGGUUAAUCAAGUCUGAAGUGAAAGCCCGCGGCUCAACUGCGGAACGGCUUUGGAAACUGAGUAACUGGAGUGCUGGAGGGGCAGGCGGAAUUCCUGGUGUAGCGGUGAAAUGCGUAGAUAUCAGGAGGAACACCGGUGGCGAAGGCGGCCUGCUGGACAGUAACUGACGUUGAGGCUCGAAAGCGUGGGGAGCAAACAGGAUUAGAUACCCCAGUAU
rnacentral:rRNA from 1 species